GUGUUUAGUGUCCAGGUGUGGAGUGGAGCUUCUUCUUCUUCUGCUGUGUUUGCAGAAACUAAGUCCAUUUGUGAAAUUCACACUGGAAUUCACUGAGAGCCAAGUGCCUGAUUUUGUACACCUGUGGCCACGGAAGUGAUUUGAACACCUGAAUUCAGUGAUUUGGAUGUCACUGAAAUGGCAGCUCAGGUACUUUUAUGAUCUUGACUCUUUGACCUGGACUCAGUCUGACCAGUCGAACGGCAUAUUUUUAAAGUGAAAACAUGAAGGAAAAGAAACUGUGAAGUGUGUAAAAGUCAGAUUAGUGAAGAUGUGAGUCCAGACGACGUGUGUGCAGGAUCAGCUGAGCUCUGCAGGAGACAUGGAGGUUCAAAGGAGGAGAGCCAACAACCAUCAGUCACAACACACACACCAAACACACAUUUUUACAUUCGGUGUCACUUUGACCUUCUUCAUGAUGUCAUCAUCAGCAUGUUUUUAUUAUCAAAUUUCACACUCAGCUGAUUAAAAACAGAAAAUACUCAAAGAUUUACUUUAACAUUCAGUGACUCGUCCUGACAUUAAAUCACAGGAGGAUCAGCAGGUAACGUUUGAAUCACUGCACCAACCCCCCCUCUACAGUCUGAUUCAACCAGUUUAACCAGCCCUGCUGCUCCUGCUGAGCCCCUCCCACCUGUCCUGUUUCAGGUGGAGUCCCGCCUCCUUCCAGGAAUCAGCUCACCUGUGUGUCAGUGUUUGGUGUCCAGGUGUGGAGUGGAGCUUCUUCUUCUUCUGCUCUGUUUGCAGAAACUGUGAAGGUAGAAAGUGUGUGUGAGCUGAUGUGAAUUCAGCAGCAUGGAUCAGUG